UGAAGGUGCACAGAGAGGAACAUGGCUUCUCCAACAUCAUCGUACGGAGUCGACCUUCGGUCUCCAACAGCACACGACCAGCCUCCAAAGAUUUCUAAUUACAUCAUUCCAGAUGAUUCUCUGCCAGCUGAACUUUCACUAAGGUGAAUGGAAUGGAGACGUCUUUGGCAACUGCUUCUUCUGGCAGACCUCUUUGCAUAUUGCAGUUAAAUCUCUGAAGCUCAUACAGUAUGCUGCACCUUGACCGGCUGAUAUUCAACCCCCCAAAGUACUCUCACUUCUUCUAUUCUUCCUCUGCUUGAUUUGACCAGGGUCAAAGUACUUUAUCAAGAACUU
ensembl:lncRNA